CUCGUGUUUAUGUUUGGCAUGUUGAUACUAGUGCUCACGAUUUUUCUCUUAAGAUAUGUACUAUUUUUAAAUGACAAGGUUGAGUAUACAUUUGAGAACAAACCUUCCUUCCAAAGGAUAAUAUUAAGGGCUGUUUUCCGAAUUGUCGGACGAAAACAAGGACGUUUAUACAUUAACAAGAACGGCGCAGGUGUGUCGUCUGCUCGAGACACGCCCACUCAAGUCGGAACAGGUGGGAAGUCACACGUGUUAAACGAAAGGAAUAUCAGACCAGCUAACCCUUUGCAUAAAGUGUCAAUUACGAAUUGCAGACUGGAUACAAAGUCCAUAGAAGCAUACAAGAAGAUAUCAUGUGUGAAGACACAUGAUGCUGUUCCUAUCUGCUAUCCUGAAACUUUAUUUAUGCGAUUAUCAACGUUUCUUGCAACCUCUUUGAAAGCUUUUUUGAGCCCCUUAGGUCUGAUUCACAUUAAGCAGACAAUAACUCAGCACUGUCCUUUGGAUGAUCUCCUGGAUGGUGGAUUCGACCUCCAUGCUAGAGUAGUACACUAUGUGGAAGUAGAGAAAGGGAUUGAAGGAUAUGCUGAAUUUAAGGUCACUGACUGUCACAACUUGUGUGUUUGGGAAGGUAUGCUCACAGUGUUGUCCAGGAGUCCAAAAGCACAGAAAGUGGAACAUCAAGAAACACUCUGAGAACAGCUACAACCGAAACUGUUGAUGAUAACCAGCUUGGUGAGUGCCUCCUUCAAGUACCCCUAGAUACAGGUGUGCAAUAUGCCCGAGCUACAGCAGACUGGAACCCUCACCAUAUAUAUCCCUGGACAGCCAGACUGCUGGGUUACAGGGCACCAAUAGCACAUGGAAUGUGGACUCUGGCUAGGACACUGGAUGAACUCUUUGGAAAUGACAAUGUGAAGAAAUCCUAUCCUAUUCAUGUUGAUGCCACCUUCAAACGCCCUCUUUUCAUGCCUGGUGUGGCGAAGAUACAGUAUGGUAAAGACAAAAUUGAUAGGUCACAAAUGUGGUUCAAGUGCUGUGAGCUGUCUUCAGGAGCACCCAUUGUUUUAGGUUCUGUGCAGAUGGGGAAGUAGCCAUCUUCAUGUGUAUGGCUGUAUUAUUCACCAAUGUAUGAGUGCAUUAGGACUGCAACAAAUCCACAAUGAGGCAAAUUUGAUACAUAUCCCGAAUAUUGGGUAACAAAUACGAAUACUGGGUGUUACAGUGUUAUAUAUUAUUCAGUAUAUUGAGCGAAACCAUAACAAAAUAUGUUAUUUGACAUGUUUUGAUCAUGCUGACAAUGUUAAUUAUUCACGAUAACGACCAGUGACCACAGUACUAUCAAACUGGGUAUGUUAGAGUGUUGACGUUAUCCUUCCUGGAUUGAAUAUAUUCAUUUUUGCAUAUCACAUUUUGAGAAUUAAGACCUGAAGUCACUGAAAAAUAUCAUGAAUAUUCGAUUCUAGUCUUUGCAAUGAAUGAAUUCAAUUCAUGACAGGAUAUGUUUCAAUUCAGCAAAUUUAUGAGUGAAUCUAACAGCCUUAGUGUGUAUCAUAAUGCUUUGUGGAAUAAAUGCAAGAUUUGGUUCAUGAGGUCAUGUAUCACAUAUAUGCAGAUAUGGAAGUUAUCACACGUGUUUUGGGAUGCAAAAUAUCCUGUAUUAGGAAUACACUUUGUAUUUAGCAAACUUUCGCGUCAAGUGGACACUAUCAUGAUGGCCUCUUCAUUAUAUAAUGUUAUUCUGAAAUUUUGAUGUUGAAAAUACAUUUAUUCACCGAAGUUGCCAAACAUUCAACAGUCCUGUUUCGUGGAAGCAAGUGAGUAUAAUUUUACGCUACUUUUAGCAAUAUUCCAGCAAUAUCACAGCGAGGAAUUCCAGAAAUGGGCUUCAUAUAUUACCCAUAUUCCUGAUGGUUAAUUCUGAGUUGAUUGUCAACUGAUAAGGGCAGCAUGAUCGUAUGUCAGUACUGAGAGUAGUACCUACCUGACAUUUCAUAUUUGCAUUUUCAUGUGUUCAUGACUGCAGUACAUGCCGUUUUUACCCCUUUAUCCAGCCAAAAAAAACUACCCAUAAAAUGAUAAAUAUAUUACACAUCAUAAAGCCAUUACUUGCCAUGUACUGCAGCUGACUUGUAGGAUUGCUGUAUGUAUUUCAGUUGUAUUCCCAUUGAUGGUGUGCUAUUAAGUCUUUAUGUUUAUUUGUUGCAUACAUCAUAAGUACUGUAGUGUUACAUGUUUAGCAAGGUACUGAUUUACCAAAUUGUGUUCUCUGCCUUGUUUUUGAUGUAGAAAAGCAUAUUGAAAUGAUAACUGUGAGUAGUGUGAAUAAUUGAGGAGUUUGUUAUAAGUUAAUAUUUGUCUUUAUGUGAUACAUCUGUCUAUCAUGAAUCUUUAUUGUUUGAUCGUCAUUCUUGAAGUUGGUGACUCAAAAAUGAAACAUACAACUUUAUGCAUGACAACUUCUUAUUUAUUGCAUAGAGACUCAUGCAAUGAAUACGAAGUUGUCAUCCAUAAAGUUGUAUGUUAUAUUCAUAAAUCUUUAGAUUUUCAAUGUCUCCGAAAUUGCAAGGCAUUUGAUGCUCAAUGUUUGUAUACAUAUGACCUCAGAAAGGUAUUCAACCUUGAUUAAUUGCUCAGAUUGUACAGGUGUAGUGUUCAGUAGGGAUAAUAUGUUUCUUAUUCCACUUAUAGAUAUUACUAGUAGAUGUGCUCGUGUGUUUGGUGUCAUAAUGUUAUGGUAUGGGUUCCUUCUCUGCCCUGCAGAUUUGGAUGUGUCAUACA